rnacentral:rRNA from 1 species
UACAGAGGGUGCGAGCGUUGUUCGGAAUUAUUGGGCGUAAAGGCGCGUAGGCGGCGCGGUAAGUCACCUGUGAAAUCUCCUGGCUCAACUGGGAGCUUGCAGGCGAAACUGCCGUGCUGGAGUGUGGGAGAGGUGCGUGGAAUUCCUGGUGUAGCGGUGAAAUGCGUAGAUAUCAGGAGGAACACCUGUGGCGAAAGCGGCGCACUGGACCACAACUGACGCUGAGGCGCGAAAGCUAGGGGAGCAAACAGG